GUGCUCACUUAGGCAGCACGUAUGUUAAGAUGGGAACGAUACAGAGAAGAUUAGCACAGCUCCUUGUGCAAGGAUGACAUGCAAAUUUGUGAAGUGUUCGGUAUUUGG